AUAACCUGGAAUGCUUGCAGGGACAGGCUCCAUUCAUCACCUAGCAGUUCCUUGCUAAUCUGUUUUAACCCUCCCUGACACUUUUUUCAUCAGUCUUACAAACCAUUUCUAAGUCUUGUCAGUGAGCAGGGCUGGGUUGCCCACUGGAUGUGGCAGGAAGAUGGAGUCCAGGAACGUCUGACCUGAAUCUUAAACUGGCAUGCAUUUAAGGUGUUUGUGACCUUCUAUUUUAGGGAAUAACAACUGCAACUCUUCUUUCUGUUGCUAUGAAAGCAGCUACUAACACUGUCUGUUGAACCUCUGACAGUUCACAGGCUGAUAUCGCUGUAUGUUGCCGCCCCUGGUGAUGUGGAAUUACUUAUCAGUAACAAUUACACAACACUAACUGUGAAAUAGAGAUAAUUGCUGAAUUAUUUUGAAUAUAUUGGGAAAAGCUCUAUAAUUGUCUAAGAUGCAACAGAAAUAUGUUGUGUGUCUAAACAAGAGAGGACUUGAUACAGAAAUCACUCCACUUUCUGUACUACAGGUAAAUGAAGAUGGGAUACUGAUUGAUGGAGAAGAAACUACUGCAGUGUCUUGUGGCUGAACUGUCUUCUGGAGAGAACGAAAAGAAUUAAGUAGAAGAAUGGAAGAGGCUGGAAUGCUCAAUCAUGAAGCGGCAUCAGGCCGAUAUAGGUUGUCGCUGCCUAUUAUAUCUCCAGGCAGCACUGGGCUGAGGCUGUGCAGUUCCUGCCUGCAAUACAGUAAGGUUUGGCUGAAGAUGCAAGACUAUAAUGCUGCACAGUGGUCCCAGCCUCUGUUCCUUUAAGUCCUGUACCGACACUUGACCACUACAUCGUUGAGGUGACUUUGGGGUUUUAAAUGCAAGACAUAUUUAAAUGAAGAGUGUCUGCACAUCUUUGGAUUGCAUCCCGGUUCCCCGGAGCUUGCUUGGAACAGACUUACUUCUCCUCAGGAUCAUGAAACCAAUAUAGCUGGGAGCCCAGGGAUGAAAGCUUUAAACCUGGAGGGUGCCUGGUACUUCCUGAGAACCUCACAGGGAAAAAGUUCAGUCCCCAAACAGCCUCGCUGACAGAUAUGUUUUUAUAGCCUAUUAUUUUCUCUCUUCGUUCUUUGUUUCAUUUGAAUAUAAUAGGCUCUUUAUUUUUAUCUGCUCGUCUGUUCCUGCUGUUUAUAUCCUCUCCCCAAAAUCAUAAUUCUCUGGUUAUUUUCUUUUUUCCUUUUUUAACAUCACAUUUGGUUACUGUCUAACUGUGCCUGUAUAGAUGGGAUAUGGUUUAUUUUUUGAGUAAUGCAUUUUCCAUUUUCCUUCCUGUCUUUGCAAUAGUAUCCCGUAUUUCAAUUUGAACCAAAAUGUUGUAGCCCUAUUUAUAGGUCUUGAAUUUUGGCAGUGAUGUAAGUGUGUUAUGUGGUUGUAUGACUUCAUGAAAGAAAAAGCUGGAGCUGCAGAUGAAUACGUAAAAAUGUUAUUUUCUUGUUUAUUUCUCUAAUGCAUGAGAUGGAGAAAAGACUUAAGGCCUGUGAUAGUAAAGUUACUUUAUUUCUUCUGUACCAAAAUCAUGUUUAUUCAUUUAGAUAGAAUAGAUGCAGAACUUUUUGGCAUGAUAGUUUUUAAUUUGAACAAAUACGCAACAUAGGGUGCUUGUUUUCAUCCUGUACUUGCACUCACAAUAUUCAUUUCAGGGUACUGUCUGUGAGAGCCUGCCCCCCUCUCUUGCUGCCCCUGCACAACCCGACGUCCUCCAGCCAUUGGGGGUGAAACAGCGGUGUUUGCCCAACCGCGCUGUGCAUACAGGCGGCUCUGCAUAGUGCUGGGUCAGCAUGACAUGAACAUGCCACCUCUGAUACUUUGUAGCAGACCUUGUUAUGAGUUCCUACCCCCUGGCAGGCAGCAAAGCAGGCUGGAGAGCCAGAGUCGGGCUUUGCUCUCCUUGCUGCCACUGACUCGGAAUGACUUUUGGACAAGUUCUUAAACCUGGUGCUUAGUUUACCCUUCUCUUAGUUAGCAGCUGCAGUGCCUGCCUCCAAGAGUGUCUGAGAAUAUAACUGGUGAGAAAAAAGGUCUUUGUCCCAGAAAACCCGUUAUACAUAUCUGCCUAUAAUUGUUUAGCAUAGAACAUUACUUAUUUACCUACAUGUACAAUGUUAAUUUAACCUCCAAUUUAAUCAUAAUGAAAACCCAACUUAUUAAAAUCUACAUUACAGAUUGUUUCCUUGUCUCAAGGUUCGGUCAUAAUGCAUCUUACUGAGAUAGUUAAAUGUGUCAUUUGGGGUUUUGCUAUUCUGUGGAAAAAGUAUACAUUUUUACUGAAAUGGGAUUUGCUGCUCAAAAGCUGUUUCAGGAAUGUCUUUCUGUUGCUUAACUUAAUGAAGUACCUGGAAGUGAUUUUAAGCUGCUUGCAAAAGAACAGCCAGGGAUCUAUGACCUUAUAAUUAUUAAUUAUAAUGCAAUUAAUAAUUACUAUUAUGAUUACUUAACUCUUUUAAGUACACGUGUUCUUUUUAUGUGCUUUCCUUCUUGCAGAUUGAUCACCUUAAUUAUGGUGUGUCUGUUUGCAUGUACUUAGCACCUAUUAAAAUGAAACCUGAAGUGCAUUCUCAAACAAAUUAGAAACUGCUUUGUAUGUUUUGAGGCCAUCUCAGUGGGAAUGAACUAGAGUUUUUCACCUCCCUGUGCUGAUGUAGCUUGGACUUUGCAUUAUGUCAUUUUCCCAGACCUUUGACAGAGAAUGCUCCCUGUGUUCUCAGUAUUUUGACCAUUACUGGUAACUGUCUAAUGAUUAACUCUUAGAGCCAUGGGGAAGCAAGCAUAUGCCAUCACCCCAAUAUGCUGAAUUCUGCCAGCUCCUGAAAGAGAUAAACCUCUAGAAGUUUACGGAGCAACGUGUUUUGUAGCUGGAUCGUGUAAUUUGGUUUUCAUGCUUCAGUCACUUUUCACAAUUCCCCAGGCAAUUAGAGAAUCCAGAAAUCCCCAAUGGAUAGACACCUGCUUGCAGGUCCCCGCAGGAAAUGUCUGCAAUACUGAAUUAACUACAGAUACCGUUUUAUGAUCUUUAAGUAAUAACUUGGAAGAAUAAAACUACCUAUGGAAUGGGUCUCAAAAAUCCUUUGAGAUGAAUCCUAAAUUUGAGCCCUGCUUUGUUGAAGCUGUACACUGCACACAAGGUACCAUCUACACAAGAACGAUGUGUCAAGUUUUGUGCUUUUUUUUUUUUUCCUUUUUCUUCCCUGGCAGCAAUGGGGUCACCUGAGACAGUCGCUGCCCAUGCUUACCCAGAUGAGCAGUGCAGCCAUUGUGUUCCUUCCUACAUCAGCGUUUUUUGCAGUGUCCCUGCAGAAGUGGGCCAGGUCUGCUGAGCCUCCCAGCCUGGGCCUGCUGGCAGAGUCAGGAAUAUGCAGGAUUCUGCAGCUCUUCCUCUCCCUCAGAUAAGGCAGGGGCCUUCCUACUCCUGUUUACACUGCUGACUCCUGGGCAGCUUUACCAUUCUGCUUCAGCUGCUUUCCUCAGCACAGCCUAUUAUGGGUAGGUCACAAAACUUUCCCUUUUGCUCUUAGAUUGAGCUCUACAUUACUGGGGAAGGACAUCUGAGGCUUUGGGAUUCAGGAGACCUGAGCACUUUUUUUUCUUGCCUUACUUCUUCAUUCUUCCUCACUGAAUUGAGCUAUAAAGGGAAGUGAUAACAUUUGGCUGCCUCACUGGUUCAUGUCUUGGUGUUUAUAGUAGGUUUUGAGAGUGUUCUUAGAAAGUAAAGUGCUAUUGGUGGUGGCAGGGUAAUAUUAUCAUUGUCUGAAUUUUCCACCAUUUAAACACAAGUCUUUAGAUUUUUUACACCUCAGAAACUGAAUCACUUCUGAUAUCAUAACUAGAACUUGUACAUCAGUUACAUGCCAAUUAUUUGUGCCUUUCCUAGGCUAAAGGACAACAAAAGAAAGGCAAUGGAUAAAGGUUCUGAAUCAGAACUGAUAUUGACCGUGUGUAUUUCUUUCCUCCCUUCAGUAUGAUAAGCUGUCCCAGUUUUCUUCAGUCUGGCUACUUUUAUGUGGCUAUAUCUAUCGUUAUAUGGCUGUUUUUUAAAUUGCUGAUAAUAGCUAUUGAGACUUGAGGAACGUUAUUUGCUUAACCUUGGAUCUCUGUGAGAGAGAAGCUGGUUACUUUGAACCUUUUAGCCUACUGUAUUUAGAAAUGUUGAAAGAAGCAACUCUAAAUUAGGGGGUUUACUGCAUUUUUAAACACACAAAUAGAUACCUUCAUUCUUACAAACAACAUCAAAAGGCUAGAGAGUCUGGAGUAUAUCAACCAUCUGUUGGUCAUUCACCAUUAGUCAACCUACACGUGCCUGUGUCUCCAUCAGGAUCCCUCUUCUUCAGAUGUGUUCCCUCAGACAUGAUGCUGGAUAAUUAUGAAGCUGGGAGGAAUCCCAAUAGUCCCCAGUUGUUACAUGCUGUAGUUCAUCAGAAGCCUCAUGAAAGAUUCCCAGGAAUAGGAAAUUCUCAGAAAAGACUGCAGACGAAUAUUGGAGUGUGGUUUUGGACAGCCAUAAAUAGAAAGCAUACAGACCUCCAUCGCUAGUUGCUAGUUGUAACCUAGCAAUGGCGGUAGAAGACUGCAGAACCUGUGUGUGCAGCUGAAUCUCAUGAGUUCCUCCAUAUUAUCUACUUUGCAUUGUGUAUUCACAAUGCUUUCAGAACUUGUGAGGAAAAGCAACGCUUCCUACAGACUUCAUAAAACUCUGCAGUCCUCUGCCUGCAUAACAAUCAGUAGAAGAGGAAUACGCCUUAUUGACCUGGGAGGUGAUCAAAGUUACUUAUCUGAUUAAAGAUCAACUGGCUGAGUUCUGUUACAUGUAAUAAACAAUGAGAACACAUUCAACCCAGUGCUUUGAACAAGUGAAACUGUGCCUUCUCCCCACUGCAAUAUCAAAAAGUUAUACUGUGACCUUUGCUUCCUCUUCUGAAGUGUUUUGUUCCGUUUUUGUGUGCAAUGCAAUUAAUUGGUAGGCUGUCCUACCUCUAUGGUGGGAAAAAAGUUUUUGUGUAACCCAUGUUUAACUUACGGAAGUUAAGGCUGUGCGCAGUUACUCUCUAUUCUAUGAGACUGUGGCAACAGCACAAAGUGUCAGCAGAGUAUUCAUAGUGAAUUUCAGUGAUACUGUGUAUAUGUGUUUGGAUAGGAAAGGAUUUGCUCAAACUGGGAGAUGUUAUUUUCCCCAAGAUUUGUAAAAAAAUUUUUAGUAGUUUUCCAUUCAUGUACAUCCCAGUACUCAAGUGUAGGAAAAUAGAAGGAGGAGUCAAGUUAUGGUGAGAGAGUUCAGUGCUUAUGUCUGGCUUGACAGAUACUGUGUUCUUGUAAGCCUAAUUUCUAAACCAAAGGAGGCUGGAGACAUUUGGAUAAACAGCUGAUGAUGUCUGAAGUUUAAUCCUGUUCAUUAAUCUUUUUCCGUACCUCUGAUGCAACUACCUCUGUCAGCUUCAGUAAGAGUACUUGACUAAUGACAAGAAUCAAGUCCUUAUCCACCAAUUUUUAAACAGGUAUCUACUUGGAUUUUGAUCAGUGUUUCUAUCCUCUCAUGUCACCUAGAGUAAUACCGAGUGACUAUUCUACUCCACAUCUGCAACUGCUGUGACUUCUACUUAAAGUUCUUUUACUCUGUGAAAUAAUUUAUUAAGAUAUCAUCCAUAUUGGAGAGAUUACAGAUCAGAAGUAGUCUGAUUAAAAUAUUUGGCAAGCUAUAUUUGCUUGAAGAUAUGUCAAGAGACUAAGAGAAUGAUCUAAAAAAACUCAUUAUAAGGAGUAAAACAGUUUUUCUGAUGUUUCUAAGUUUAUCUAAGUUAUCCAUUUCAUGUCUUCAAAGGUUUAAGGAAUUACAUAUAUUCCUGGGUAUUUUCCCUUACAGCAAAUCUUACAGUAUUUCUAAAUGAAUUCCAAAUAAAUCCUUCCUGUAUUUCUGUAUUUCAAUGUAUGUUAAGAUGAUAGCUAGCAUGCAAUGAUGUAUAGUUAGUUUUCUGGUUAGUUUACCUCUAAGAGGUAUGCUGGCAUGAAAUUUAAACAGCAGCAAAUCCUAAUAGCCUAGAUGCAAAGUAUUACUCUCGGAAAAUUACGAAAGAUGCUACUAACUCAGUCUGUAUUUGUACCCACCUGAAUUUAGGUGCCACCUGAAAUUACAAAGGGCUCUGAGUUAUCUCAAGAUAAUUACCCAAGUGCUGCUAAACUUGCGUUGCCUAGAUUCAGUGCAACAAACCUUGAUGCAUGUAGUCACACUUGAAAAGACUUCUGCAGUUCAUCAAGAAGCCAAGGCUUUGGUCAUGUGUCCUCAGAUGACUGAUUGGGUAAUGUUUGUACACCUCUACAGAAAAAAGUUUGCAUAGAGAACUACAUAAAUAUUACAUUUUAUGGUUAUUAAUAAUCUUUUCCUGAUGAAAGUAGUCUGUUGCAUUGUUACAUUUACCAUUGAAUGUAUCCUGAUCUGUUGAGGGGUCCUCUCUUCACAGUUUCUGAGGACCUCAUGUAGAAAUCCUGCAAAGUGGGAACAUGGUGGCCCUCCUUUUAAGGGGAAGAACUGACACUUGGUGCUGUGCUGAGGCUUGCCUCUUCAUCCUGUGCUGGUGUGCAUGCUAACUAAGUGUUAGUGCUGCUGCUCUGUGCCUCGCAGCGGGUACCUGGAGCCAUUCUGGAGUUCCUGUGCUGCACCCCACUGUGCAGCAGGGCUGAUGGUUAACAUUCACAUUAAAACAAAAAAUGACAGCAGAACUGCAGAGGUAACAACUCCACUGGAAGAUGGAGUCACCCAAGGAAGACAGAAGUGACAACAGUCAGGAAAAGAAAUCUGGGACAUCCAUGCUUCGGGCAUACAGUAAGGAUGAGGAAGCAGCACAGACCCUUGCGAAGUGCUGCCACUGACAUUUUGGCAGAGGCUGGAACAAGAAAAGGAAAUCUCCCCGGAGGAGACCUGUGGAUCAAACUCAUCAGCCCCCAGGACCACAGUGUGAAGGGACAGUGAAAGGACCAUGGCGACCAUUUCCAGUGGAGCAUCCCUCUCCCUGGCCACUGCAGGGGCCCCACAAUGAGAUUACUGCUGGAUGAACCCAGAGAGUUGCCUCGCGAUUUAGGAGUUGCAGUUUCUCUAUCUACAAAGUUGAGAGGGCUUGCUCCACCAGAAGAUUUAAGUGUUCUGAUGCUGACAAUAGGAUUUAUCCAGAAAAGAUAUACAGGAUCCAGUGUUGUACCUAGGAACAAGCCUGAACACCUUGGGAAAGAAUGCACAAAACUGCUCACACUGAGGAAAAAACUGCCAUGAGGAAGAAUUCAUAUUGUGGCCUUGCUCUGACAGCAUAGGGGCAGUGAUAUGAUGAAGACAAGCAAAUUUUCCAUGGAAACACCAUGGAAAAAUGAAGUGUAACCGGUCACUCCCUCAGCUUGGCAGUCACAACAAAAAAUUGUAUUCAGAAAAGGACAUUCUUUGAUUACAUAAUAUGAAGAUGCGUGGAUCUCUGUCCUUCAUCCAGAGGUGUCUGCUCCUGAGAAUGCACAACCACACUACAGUGCAUCUGUCAGCUCACUGUCUUUGCUUCCAUAAGUGCUACUUCUGCACUGCUAUGGCUCUCUUUGGCCUAAAAUUAUGUAGAAGAUGCUCAAUCAAAUCAAUGAAACUCAGGCUUCCCCCUGUGAGUGUAACAGAUGAUAAGCAUAAACUUGAGUUCUCAUGAGUUUUCAGCCAUGAAUCCAUCUGGGAAUAAUUUCACUGUGAGAAGAAUGCUUCCAUUCUAUCAGGAAAAAAGGCUGCAUGGAAAUCAUGGAAAGCUACAGAAGAAAGGAGCAGUCAUUGUUUAAAAGCACUGUGGCCUGUGAAGAUGGAAACCAGAAUGGGAAUUUGCCUCCGAAUUUUAUAAGCUUCUAGAAACUAAAAUGAUGAGAAACAAAUGCAAAAAGUUCACAAAAGUAGUAGUUAUUAAAAAAAAUAAUAAUUCUUAAGGCCCUAUUCUUUUAUGAUGAAUAGACCUGAUUAGAGGGAUAUUAAUUACCUGGAAUACCAUCAUUUAAACAGGGUGACCUGGGACUCUGCUUAAAAGAGAGCUCUUUCCCAUAGCCAGUCUUCCAGUUGAGGACAGCUAAACCAUUGUUUUCCAUAUUUCCAACAACUUUGGGCAUUUGUCACUGUCAACACUUAAAUACGGGGGAAUAUAUGGAAAUUUGGGAAAGGUAUGUAUAACUGAUUGAGCAGUUAGAUGUGAAAAGAAAUGGUUCUUCAGAUCUAGAAAGAUGAGGAAAUUAAUUGACUACACGCUUAGAAGGAAGACUGUGCUAUUUCAUGAUGGCUCUCAAACACCAUCCUUACAAAAACAUCUUUAUCUUUGUCUGAUUUAAAAUAACAACAAAGAAAACCACUACUGCCACCAACAAAAAACCCAAAACAACUCCCAAAACUGUAGCCUACACUAUAAAAGACUUUGAGUAAAUGUAUAGCAUAUUUUAUUAUCGGAAAUCACCACAACAGUCAAAAAGGUAUUCCUUUAGAAUGGUUCAACUAUUUCAUUAGUCAUAAGGGAAAAUUACUCUUCUGACAGUAUGACUUUCAUCCAGAAGGAUGAGUUUGGCAGUACAGCUGGGACAUCUGGAUUGUCCAAACUAAUGUUAGAAAAAACGUAACAAUGUAGCUUUUCAAACUAUGAUAGGGGAAACUGAUGAUUUAUUGUCCAAAAUGGAUAUGCAUAAUUCCAGAGGCAGAUUCUUGGAUUUUGGAUUAUAGUUAAUGGUUAGUUAACUGUGUUUCUAUCAGUCUGUCAUUUUGGCUCACUUCUAUAUAUGCACAUUGUGCCUUAAUAACUACCUCCACUAUUCCUCAGUUGAAGUGCUGUCUUCAAGACAUGCUUUAGCCAAAUGUCUCUCAGAUACUAGGAGCUGAUCACAGUAUGAGAGCCCAGCAGAAAUCUGAUCACUUGUGAAAUGCAGGAAUUAGCUUGCUUUAUCAAGCAAUCUUUUCUUAAGUUUCCUAAAUUUAUGACGUGCAUCUUCAAAUAAAUUCAGCUUUUUCUUCCUACCAUGUUUCAUACUCUGGAGAAAAGAUGAUUGGAAAAGAUGAUUGCUAUAAAAAGGGUGUUACCUCUGACUUCUCUUAAGCUUUUCAAUUAUAUUAUCCUUUACAUUUUUUACCUGGUUUAUUGUAACAGGCUUAGCACCAACAGUGACUAAUUUAUUUGCCAGGCAAAGACCAUAAUAAAAUAUAGGUGUGAAUAUUUGAUACAUUAAUUUCAUGAGUGUAAAAUUUUAGGUUGACUUAUUUGAAGAAACACAGUUUUAGUCCCCUAAAGACAAUCUUAGUAGAUCUUUUUUAAUAUACACCAUGGAGAAUGAGGAGAUAUUUGUACAUUCUGAAGUUUGGAGGUCUGGACUAUGUUUCCAUUCACCAUGGUGGUUCUCAAAAGUUAUUUUUGAGCAACAUAGCAAGGAAACUAGGAAGAGCCUGAACUGCUGAUUAUGUUCCCUUUGUUGUGCGGAUAUACAGAGAACAGUUUUCUCAUCCCACAAAGGUUCUGUUGAUCUUGAAAUUUUAGGCCUGGCAUAGAGCUUAGUGAAUAUAUGGGUGACUUAAGAAACAAGCAAACAUAUUUCAUCAUAAUGUUCUUUUUUUUUUUAACCUUUUAAUAUAAACUAAAUUGAAUUUCAACAGAAGAUGCUUUUAACCACAAACCCAAGGCUUUUUUUUUUUUCUGUAUUAAAAAUGUUGAAAUGGCACAGUUCUAGAAUUUCAAAACCUUUUUUUUCCCAAACUUUUUUUGAGAACAGGAAGUUCUGGGAAUAAUUUAAGUUUUUAUGAAUUUUUGAUUGUGUCCGUCUCUCUUCUUCCCCUUUUGAGAGCCUUAUUUUCAGUCUCAGCUGAAAACUGAGGCUUCCAACGCUUUCCAGAAAUCUGAGCUCUGGUUACCUUAAUUCAGUUUAUUGAUCCAUUAUGGUGAAACAUAGAUUUAAGGCAACUUUCUUUGUCCACUUGUGCAAUAAGACAUUGGUGAGAAUAUUGUGACAGUCUUAAUAGGAUUUUUUCUUUCAUGUAUGAUGAAAGACUGAGAUACCUGGGACUGUUCAGCCUCGAGAAGACGAAGAAGAGAUCUUAUCACUUUUUAUAAAUAUCUAAAAUGCUGGAGUCAAACAGAUGGGACCAGGCUCUUUUCCAUGGUCCAUGGCAACAGGACAAGGGGUAAUAGGCAAAAACUGGAACACAGAGAUUUCCAUACAAACAUGAGGAAAAACUUCUUUACUUUGAAGGGUGACAGAGAACUGAAACAAGCUUCGCAGGGUGAUUAUGGAGUCUCCUUCUCUGGAGAUAUUCAAGAUUUACAUGCUGUUCCAUUUCAAUUAUUGAUUCACAGUUUAUAAACAAGUAGACAGAAGUAGGUUAGAAAUUAAUUUUAUGAGCCCCUUUUCUUUACCUCUAUCUAGAAGAAUAAUUUACUGUCACUAAUGACACUGGUUGUGUUGAUGGGACAAAAUCUGAUGCCUUCAAGAAAGGAUUAUUAAUGAACCCUUCUUUAAAACAUCUGGUUGACUUUUAAAACUGGAAAAGGACUCUGGAUUUUUAUUUUUUAAAUGGCACUACUUGUACAUGGUUGCAGUACUCUGGAACAAAUGCUUUUUUGUGAUUUGACUAAUGGAUAACCUGUUCUGCUAAGAAGAAACUAAUGCAUAAGCUACCUUGCAGCUGAUGACUGAGGAGACCUCAAUGACUAAGCAGAAGCAGCAAGGUUUGGGUAAGUUCUGUGCAAAUACUACCAAAUAAUUCUAGUGAAAGUCUUCAUGUGAGAAUUACAAAUCAAGAUAUUCAGAGUUCUGAAAAGUGAGGUUGAUUCGUAAGUACUGAGUAAGGAUAAAUAAGGAGGUUAACAAAUGAACGAAAAGGAGAUUUUUUUCCUUACUAAAACCAAGAAAGCCUGUUUCAGCAGUUUCUUCCUUUCUCUGUUCUAGCUGAGCACUAAUGUACAAGGUCUACCAAUUCAGAAAGGAAAUGCUAGCUUACAUAUGAACAGAGUGCUAACAGUUACAAUAGUUUUAAAUCUCAUAAUCCCAUUGUUUGGUAGUUGUAUUUUGUUUUAGUCAGAAAAGUUGCAUAAUCUACUAUAUUUCUACAGGCAUUGUACAGCUUUAGUGUGUCAAGACCAGCAGAAUUGACAGACCCUCAUGUUCCUGCCUGACCACUCAGGGCUCCCGUACUUGGCCUAGGCUCAGGGUCCCACCUCAGCCCAUGUCCUCUCAGCCACUACCCCAGUGAGGCUGCAGCAGGGCCAGGCUCCAGCUCCCCACAGCUCUGCUCAGCUGUGGGAUCUGCUGAGCCAGGCCAAGUCCUGGCUUCGGUCCUUGGGGAGGUGGUUGGGGCUGAGGCUGCCCCAGUGUUGUGCUCCUGUCUGGGGUGGUGGGACGUGGGACAGCCCCUGGCUGGUGAGGGAGAGUGCUAAUGGACCCUAGGAAGCCUGUUGUAGAGUUACAUGGUAAGCCUCUGCCACCUAAAUUGUCUGAAGUUGUUGUGUCCAGAUAUAGCAGACACAGCCAUAUUUCUAAAAGUAUUUGUGAGGCAAUUAUUGUCCUUCAGAAGGAAAGGUCUCCUCAUGGUAAAGAUGCUGUGCUUCAUUCACAAGAAAGUACACUCCUGAUGAAAACAAAUAUUGGAAACUGCCUGUUACCUGACCUUCAUCACGGUAUGUUCCCCUGAGUUAAAUGACUCUGUGACAUGUUGUAUCACAAAAGUGCAGGUGAACCAAAAAGGCAAUUUUCAGUCAUCAGCUUUCUAGAAUUAAGUGCAGGUUCAUAGAUUUUCUGCCCUGAAAGUGACUCUCUUGUUUCAUACUUAGCUGGGAAAGAGCUGAGAUCUCCUAAUACAGAUGUUGCCUUUAUAUAAUAGCUUAUAUCAUAACUCUUCUGUCACGAACAGUGAAGGUUGCGGGGGAUGUCUGACUUUACUGGGAUUUAAAGUCAUAAAAUCAUAGAGGUUGGAAAUGACUUCUAAGAUAAUCCAGUCCAACCACCUACCUACUACCGAUGUUGCCCACUAAACCCUGUCCCUAAGUACCACAUCUAUAUGUUUCUUGAACAUCUUCAGAGACAGUGACUCUACCACUCCCCUUGGCAGCCUAGCAUAGUACACACAUAACACUCCAAUCUGAAGCUCAGAUGGCAUUAAGGAUACACUUAAAUAUAUGUAUUCAUUAAUAGGUAGCUCUAUAGCUUUCUUUCAUCUUCUUUUGAAAUGUAACGUUUUGAAAUCAUAGUAAACAGUCUGAAGUCUAUCUGGAAACUGAUUGAUUCUGUCUCUGGGAUCAAGACGUCUUCAUUGCUAGACAGCAGAGGGGAAAUAGGUAGUCUCCAUUUCAGUGUGUCUAUAUAUAUACACCACAUAUUACCAAUAACACUCUUGUUAACAGGAGAAAUUAGCAGCAGCCUCAGCAAAGUAUCAGCUCUACUCUGUAUUCUCACAGAGAGGUGGUGCUUCACAAUAUGUCUUUUUUUUUUAAGUGAUAGCUCUGAAAGAAACAUCUCUUUAUCCUUCCAGCAUAGGAAACCAGAGGUAUCUUCUAUUUCCUGUGUCAAGACCUCGUUAGCAGCCACUCAUAAUGCAAAAUGGCAGCCCACGAAUUGCAGCUAGUGGGAUAUCCAGUUAGCCACAUGUAUGAGUGCUAUUCUGAAAGUAAUGUCUCCUCCCCAUGGUGUCAGAGGCAGAUGUUGGUGGUACGGCAGUAGAGGUUGAACCUUUCCACCAGUAUUUGAUUACAUGUUGUUGCAGUGUGAUAGAUGGCAGCAGAGAGGCAGUCUGACACAAUGGCAUCUGACAUGGAAGUGCAAUAGGAAGCAAAGG